rnacentral:rRNA from 1 species
UCCAUGAGUAAAGUGGCGCACGGGUGAGUAACACGUGACUAACCUACCCUGGAGUGGGGGAUAACUGAGGGAAACCUUAGCUAAUACCGCAUAAUACCUACGGGUCAAAGGAGCAAUUCGCUUUAGGAGGGGGUCGCGGCAGAUUAGCUAGUUGGCGGGGUAAUGGCCCACCAAGGCAGUGAUCUGUAUCCGGCCUGAGAGGGCGCACGGACACACUGGAACUGAAACACGGUCCAG